rnacentral:lncRNA from 1 species
AUUAAGAAAAGAAUAAAUUUAAAUCUAUAUUUGUACUUAUCCUUAAUGGUUAUUAUAUUAUUAAAAAGCGAAUUAUAUUCCUCUAUAUAAUAUACGGGAGUUUUUAGAAAACUUUAGCCGUCAUCUCUCUGCUUCCCUUUCUUCUACCUUGUAGCAAGAAGGACGUCAUUUGUAAGGGAGCUAGCAUCUCGAUGAGGAUAUCGAUCAAAGCACCAAUCUCGUGUGGAUACCUAUAGAAGCUGGACGCGCGUGCGGCUUUAAGAGAAUAUAAUUUCACGAUCAUCAAAUUGAGGUGAAAAUCUACCCGCACAAAGGUAAAGAUCGGAUCUUGUUUUUCUCCUUAAUCUUAAAGAAUAUGAAGGAUCCUAAUUGCGUGAUUUUGAGAUCGGAUCUCAAGAGUUUUUCAAAAUCAAAUUUGUUUUAUUUUAUUUUCGCUGUGUUUUUACCGUACAUAAUUUUCUAACACUGAUGGCGGACAACACUUGUUGGUGUU